rfam:Triticum aestivum genome assembly, contig: Triticum_aestivum_CS42_TGACv1_scaffold_527273_6DL
UCCAUUGCUCAGUUGGUAAAGUACAAGGCUCUUGACCUUGUGGACGUGGGUUCAAGCCUUACGAUGGAG